rnacentral:misc_RNA from 1 species
AUGUACUUCCAAGGAUCAAGGAGAAAAAGAUUAUGUCACUUAAGCCGUUUGUUGAUCGGUUGGGAUAUGACAAUGUUCCGCAAGAGAUAAACCGGCUCCGAUGCAGAGUGAAUUACCAUGCCUUGAAAUUUCUACCCCAUAUUGAGGAAAUGGCUGACAAUUUAGCAUCAAGAAUGCGGAACCGUACUGCCGGAUCAAACCCUUACAUGGCACUGCAUCUGAGGUUUGAGAAAGGAAUGGUGGGGCUUUCCUUCUGUGAUUUUGUCGGAACACGAGAAGAGAAAGCAAUGAUGGCGGCAUACAGGCAGAAGGAAUGGCCUAGGCGGUACAAGAAUGGAUCACAUCUUUGGCAGCUGGCAUUGCAGAAGAGGAAGGAAGGACGCUGCCCGCUAGAGCCUGGCGAAGUGGCG